rnacentral:sRNA from 1 species
AGCAACUCCGUGCAUCACGGAGCAUUUGCUCCGUGAUGCACGGAGCAAUUUCUCCUGGAUGCCAUGAGCAAAAUUGCUCCGCGCAUCACGGAGCAUUUGCUUCGUGAUGCGUGGAGUUGCUCUAUUUUUUUUUUUUGUUAAAUUUU